CCUACGGGUGGCAGCAGUGAGGAAUAUUGGUCAAUGGGCGAGAGCCUGAACCAGCCAAGUCGCGUGAGGGAGUACUGCCCUCUGGGUUGUAAACCUCUUUUGUCGGGGAGCACAAGCCGGACGUGUCCGGCUGUGAGAGUACCCGAAGAAAAAGCAUAGGCUAACUCCGUGCCAGCAGCCGCGGUAAUACGGAGGAUGCGAGCGUUAUCCGGAUUGAUUGGGUUUAAAGGGUGAGCAGGCGGAUUUUUAAGUCAGCGGUAAAAUCGUGGGGCUCAACCCCAUCCAGCCGUUGACACUGGGGAUCUAGAGUGUGCGAGAGGUAUGCGGAAUGCGUGGUGUAGCGGUGAAAUGCAUAGAUAUCACGCAGAACCCCGAUUGCGAAGGCAGCAUACCGGUGCACAACUGACGCUCAGGCACGAAAGCGUGGGUAUCGAACAGGAUUAGAUACCCGGGUAGUC
rnacentral:rRNA from 1 species